UACGUAGGGUGCGAGCGUUGUCCGGAAUUAUUGGGCGUAAAGGGCUCGUAGGCGGUUUGUCGCGUUGUCCGUGAAAACUCACAACUCAAUUGUGGGCGUGCGGGCGAUACGGGCAGACUGGAGUACUGCAGGGGAGACUGGAAUUCCUGGUGUAGCGGUGGAAUGCGCAGAUAUCAGGAGGAACACCGGUGGCGAAGGCGGGUCUCUGGGCAGUAACUGACGCUGAGGAGCGAAAGCGUGGGGAGCGAACAGG
rnacentral:rRNA from 1 species